GCUGACCGCUGGCGGAGCGCCUAAUCCGUGCAAGCGCAGCGAACAGACCAGGACCUUGCUCCCCUGACAUUAGCCGAGGACCGUGGAUCACCACGUGUAUAACCUACCUAUUAGACUGGGAUAGACUUCCCGAAACCGGAGCUCAUACCGGAUACUAUAUUGCACCGCAUGGAUCAAUAGUGAAAGACGGCUUUGCUGUCACAUAUAGAUGGCUCCCCUCCUCACUAGCUAGUUGGUAAGGGCACGGCUUACCCAGGCAACUAUGCGUAGCCGACCUGAGAGGGUGAUCCGCCACCCUGCAACUGAGACACUCUCCCGACUCGUAUGGGAGGCACCAGCACGGACUCUUCCGCAAUGGGCGAAAGCCUGACCGCUCAACGCCGCGAGAGUGAUGAAGGUCUUCGGAUCGUAAAACUCUGUUAUCAUGGAACAACAAAUGUCUAAUUCACUAUGCACGGCUUGGCGGUACCUAAUCUGAAAGCCACGGCUAACUACGUGCCAACAGCCCCGGUAAUACGCAUGUCGCAAGCGCUAUCCGGAAUUAGUGGGCGAACAGCGCGCGUAGCGGUUUUUUAGUCUGAUGUGAAAGCCCACGGCUCAUCCGUGGAGGGUCAUUGGAAACUGGAAAACUUGAGUGCAGAAGAGGAAAGUGGAAUUCCAUGUGUAGCGGUGAAAUGCGCAGAGAUAUGGAGGAACACCAGUGGCGAAGGCGACUUUCUGGUCUGUAACUGACGCUGAUGUGCGAAAGCGUGGGGAUCAAACAGGAUUAGAUACCCUGAUAGUCCACGCCGUAAACGAUGAGUGCUAAGUGUUAGGGGGUUUCCGCCCCUUAGUGCUGCAGCUAACGCAUUAAGCACUCCGCCUGGGGAGUACGACCGCAAGGUUGAAACUCAAAGGAAUUGACGGGGACCCGCACAAGCGGUGGAGCAUGUGGUUUAAUUCGAAGCAACGCGAAGAACCUUACCAAAUCUUGACAUCCUCUGACCCCUCUAGAGAUAGAGUUUUCCCCUUCGGGGGACAGAGUGACAGGUGGUGCAUGGUUGUCGUCAGCUCGUGUCGUGAGAUGUUGGGUUAAGUCCCGCAACGAGCGCAACCCUUAAGCUUAGUUGCCAUCAUUAAGUUGGGCACUCUAAGUUGACUGCCGGUGACAAACCGGAGGAAGGUGGGGAUGACGUCAAAUCAUCAUGCCCCUUAUGAUUUGGGCUACACACGUGCUACAAUGGACAAUACAAAGGGCAGCGAAACUGCGAGGUCAAGCAAAUCCCAUAAAGUUGUUCUCAGUUCGGAUUGUAGUCUGCAACUCGAUUAUAUGAAGCUGGAAUCGCUAGUAAUCGUAGAUCAGCAUGCUACGGUGAAUACGUUCCCGGGUCU
rnacentral:rRNA from 1 species